GCUGCGCUGGACAAGGACGUCGACGCGGCCUUCAAGGACGCGAUGGCCCAGGUGCUGGCGUUCAACGCCGAAGGCGCGACG
rnacentral:tRNA from 1 species